rnacentral:rRNA from 1 species
CCCUUAGAUGUUCUGGGCUGCACGCGCGCUACACUGAUGCGUUCAUCGAGUUUACGCCCUGGCCCGGCAGGGUUGGGUAAUCUUUUGAAAACGCAUCGUGAUGGGGAUAGAUUAUUGCAAUUAUUAAUCUUCAACGAGGAAUUCCUAGUAAGCGCGAGUCAUCAGCUCGUGCUGAUUACGUCCCUGCCCUUUGUACACACCGCCCGUCGCUCCUACCGAUUGAGUGAUCUGGUGAAUAAUUCGGACUGCAGCAUUGUUCAGUUCCUGAACGUUGUCGCGGAAAGUCUAGUGAACCUUAUCACUUAGAGGAAGGAGAAGUCGUAACA